AUUAUUUUCGUUUUACCGCCAUUUACCAAACCUCUAAAAACCUAUCUAAGAAACUUGGCAGUUUAUCCACAAUCUUAGUGGAGUUUAAAUUACCAAUUCCUCUCAUCCAUUACAAUCCCCACUACUCCUCUCCGAUUAUUCCCCACUUUCCUUAACUCCAGUAAUUAUAGGUAGGAAACACUGAAUUGUUCGGAAAUGGUCAGAGAAGAAGUUGAGAAUACGAGGGCAGACAUGGUAAUCAACAGAGUGGAAAGAGCACACAGGCCAAGCAAUGAAAUUCCUGAUGGAUUCAACUAUAACUAUCUCAAGAUUUACUACGAUCAUACUGCAAUACGACAAGUCGAUGAAGAUGUGAAGCUAAACCACAAAAGAUUGGAGGGUGAAGAUCUUGAAGCACUUGGUUUAUCUUCAAGACACAUAAUAGAUUUUUGGCACCUUAGUUAUUUAAAUAUUUUGGAAUGUUUGUAAUUGUCAUAUUAUUUUGAUUUUAUGUAAUAUUAUUUGAUAAAAUUUCUAUGAUAUAAUUGUGUUAGAUGCA